rnacentral:rRNA from 1 species
CCUACGGGUGGCAGCAGUGAGGAAUAUUGGUCAAUGGACGAGAGUCUGAACCAGCCAAGUAGCGUGAAGGAUGACUGCCCUAUGGGUUGUAAACUUCUUUUAUAAAGGAAUAAAACGAGGCACGGGUGCCUUUUUGUAUGUACUUUAUGAAUAAGGAUCGGCUAACUCCGUGCCAGCAGCCGCGGUAAUACGGAGGAUCCGAGCGUUAUCCGGAUUUAUUGGGUUUAAAGGGAGCGUAGAUGGGUUGUUAAGUCAGUUGUGAAAGUUUGCGGCUCAACCGUAAAAUUGCAUUUGAUACUGGCAGUCUUGAGUAUAGUUGAGGUAGGUGGAAUUCGUGGUGUAGCGGUGAAAUGCUUAGAUAUCACGAAGAACCCCGAUUGCGAAGGCAGCUUACUAAACUGUGACUGACAUUGAUGCUCGAAAGUGUGGGUAUCAAACAGGAUUAGAUACCCCUGUAGUC